rnacentral:rRNA from 1 species
UGAGGAAUAUUGGUCAAUGGGCGAGAGCCUGAACCAGCCACGUCGCGUGAAGGAAGACUGACCUUACGGUUUGUAAACUUCUUUUGUAGAGGGGUAAUGGCAGAUACGUGUAUUUGCGUGAAAGUACUCUACGAAUAAGCAUCGGCUAACUCCGUGCCAGCAGCCGCGGUAAUACGGGGGAUGCGAGCGUUAUCCGGAAUUAUUGGGUUUAAAGGGAGCGUAGGCUGGAGAUUAAGUGUGUUGUGAAAUGUAGACGCUCAACGUCUGAAUUGCAGCGCAUACUGGUUUCCUUGAGUACGCACAACGUUGGCGGAAUUCGUCGUGUAGCGGUGAAAUGCUUAGAUAUGACGAAGAACUCCGAUUGCGAAGGCAGCUGACGGGAGCGCAACUGACGCUUAAGCUCGAAGGUGCGGGUAUCAAACAGG